UCAAAUCCUAAAUGUUCCCUCAACUAAUACCCAAGACGAAUCGAGUUCUGAAUUAGGGAUAGAUGAUGCAGAUAUGAGAAAGAAUAAGAGAACCAGAGAGGAAGGUCCUUGAAUACUUCUAUUUCAUACAACCUUAAUCCAAUCAAUCUCUGUAAUAACCCCAUGAACCAAACCGUGAACAAUGAGAUGGAGGAUAUGGUAGAGUAUGAUGAUUUUCAUGCUGAACAUAAAAUGGAAUCCUAGCACAACUAUGUUGGAGAAAGUUCUACAAAAGCAUUUGAUAGCUCAGGAAAUGCACCCGGCGUGAUUUGCAAAGGGACUGCUCAGAAUCACUAUGGAAUUCCUGCAAUUGAUAACCAGGAAAAACUCUAUUGAUAUUGGUAUUGGCAUUUAUCUUAUUGAUGGCUCGGGGAAUUAUGGAGGCUGCAAAACCGUUGCAGGGGUAGCAAGAGAUGCAGAAGAAGCUGAGUGUUGUGCUUGAAGCUGCUAAAUCGGCAAAGAGUCUGAUUUUAGAUGUGAUCUGCAUCAACAAUGAUGCUAAAAACCCUAUCUCUUAUUUAAGAAAUAAAAAUAACCAGAUUAGCCGGUUCAGUAGUUCUAUCUUAGAUGAUAGUCUUUUCAUUCUGAACAAUUUCUCUUUUCAUGAAGUUAGAAAUGUUAGUAGAAAUUCUGAAUUUUUAUCGUUGGCUGAUUCCGCUGCCAAACAUUGUAGGAAGUUCAGAAGAUCUGAAGAAUGGAAGGAUAUUGUGCCUUCAUUCCUAGAUCAUUUGUAAAACUUUUCUUUUUUAUUAAUUUAAGUAUUUUUCCUAGCAAAAAAAGAAA